rnacentral:rRNA from 1 species
AGAGGCACACAGUUCUGACUAGAUACUCAACCUGAAGAUAAGCAGGUUAGGGUCUGGCCUGUACUUGGAUGGGAGACCAACCAGGAAAGCGUGGUUGCUGCUG